UUUCGUAGUCGUCUCAAGUAAAUCUCGUGCGGCUGCUGUUUCAUCCACAGGCGCUCUAGAUUUCCUUCUGAUGACUAUGGA
rnacentral:pre_miRNA from 1 species